GAUCCUGGCUCAGGAUGAACGCUAGCUACAGGCUUAGCACAUGCAAGUCGAGGGGCAGCAUGUUGGUUGCUUGCAACCGAUGAUGGCGACCGGCGCACGGGUGAGUAACGUCGUAUCCAACCUACCCUUGUCCAUCGGAUAACCCGUCGAAAGGCGGCCUAACACGAUAUGCGGUUCACAGCAGGCAUCUAACGUGAACGAAAUGUGAAGGAGAAGGAUGGGGAUGCGU
rnacentral:rRNA from 1 species